GACAAAAGAUGGAUGUCUAGGUAGAACUGACCCUCGAUCCUGAAACUGAAGUUAGCAAGGCUUAUCCCCUGCACUGGGAAGGAGGCAAUGCUGGUAUUUGAAUCCAGGCAGUUUGAUGCUGACAACUACUCUUUGAGCCUCUGCAGCUUACUAGAAAUGUGCCUAGUUAUGAAUGGAAUGCCUAACUACUGAAUGUACACUUCUAAGCGUGGCUUGAAUGUGAGACGGUAUACAAGGGCCUGGGUUCCAGCGAAGUUUGGGCAGAUCUUCCUGACUCCUAAACCAUAAAUCAUAUUUCCAAGUCUUCUUUGGGACACACCUCAGGGAGUAUCCCAGAGAUGGAGUUCCACCACUGCCUUCAGGAGGGUCCAGGGCCGAGUACUGCUUGUUCAUAAGUGAGAGUAAAAAUACCGAUCAGCAGCUGUAACGGGUGAGCUUCCAAGUGGCCUAGAACGGAGGAGGAUCCAGAAGCAAGCGGCAUGAUCUGCAGGCUGCGAUGGCAAGUCUGUUUUCAGU